rnacentral:rRNA from 1 species
AGUGAACGCUGGCGGUAGGCCUAACACAUGCAAGUCGAACGGCAGCACAGUAAGAGCUUGCUCUUACGGGUGGCGAGUGGCGGACGGGUGAGGAAUACAUCGGAAUCUACUUUUUCGUGGGGGAUAACGUAGGGAAACUUACGCUAAUACCGCAUACGACCUACGGGUGAAAGCAGGGGAUCUUCGGACCUUGCGCGAUUGAAUGAGCCGAUGUCGGAUUAGCUAGUUGGCGGGGUAAAGGCCCACCAAGGCGACGAUCCGUAGCUGGUCUGAGAGGAUGGUGAGCCACAUGGGAAGUGGGACGGGCACAAGGCGCCAAGGGGAGGCGCCAGUGGGGAAUGGGGGACAAGGGGGGAAAUCUUGUCAAGCCGUUCCGGGGGGGGAGAAAAAGACCUUGGGGUGGAAAGGCCUUUUUGUGGGGAAAAAAAGGAAGAGGGCUGUGACCCCGCGUGCGUGACGGUACCGAAAAAAGAAGCACCGGCUAACUACGUG